AUGCCUGUCUUGCUCAACCGAAUUCAAAAGGAAAAUAACACAGUUAGGAUGCCAUGUUUUUACCUGGACGCGGGAAGGCUUGGAAUGGCGGCGGGCGGCCGUUCAAGUGGAAGUUGGUGAACGGCAGGAUGUAGCCCUCCGCCGUAUCCUUCUCUUCUUCGCUGGUUUCAUGGCGGAAUUCGCCGGUGGUGGUGCCUCCACAAUAACGCCUUCCGACUCCAAACCGAGACUGCUUGGUGGCGCUCGCGCCGCUGCCGAGGUCUCCGGAUGCCACCUGCGCGCACCCCAGGCAACCAGCCCGCCGGGUUCCGCCGUUACAAGCUCAUCAGCCUCGCCUACAAAUAUUCCAUCAACCAUCGACGCUGAAGACGACGUACUCCAAAAGAACCAGUCUGUGUUACUGUGUAUGCAUUGUUGCUGCCGAUGCCGUGGCGUUACGGACCUCGACGCCGGUGGAGAUCGGCGGAGAUCAGCUCGUCGACGCCGUCGGCCGGCCACCGCGGCCUCCAUUGCCGGCCUUGAGGAUGUACGCCAUGCAUCCUCCACAGCCCGGCGCUGCCCCCACAAGACACCCCCGUCCUUUUCCCGUGUCCGGCGCCAUCGCGCGGAGACCGCGGCUACUUGGUCCAGUCCGGCAUGGCGGCGGGGGCACUCCGAGGCGAGAAUACCUCCACCUGAAAGCCAGUGGUUCGGCCGGCCGUUGCGGCGGGAAACAGCGCUCAUGGAGUCGACAUACAUGGCUGGCUGGCUCCGCGACGAAGCUGGAUGAUCGGAGAUAGCGGGCCGUCGGCGGGGGACAGCGGGGUGACGCUGACGCCGGCGUCCGAGUCUUCGGCCUGGAAAUUUUACAUGAUACCCCUGAUUCGGAUCGCGAUUAUUAAUCGCGAUCCAAUUUUUUGCAUAGACCACCACCUUAUUUUGGAUCGCGAUUACGAGUAUUUGUAAAAAAACCCCUAGAUUCCUGGUAAAGUUUGACAAAUAAACCCUCCGCAUUUGGAUGGCCAGCUCUUGUCCCUUGCUCUCUCUUCUUCUGGUCCGAAGGAGAUCUGCCGGCCACCGCUGCAAGAAGGAACGAGGAUUGCUAGAUUCGCGGCCUUCGAUGGGCGCGGCAUCGCGGAUCCGGCCGCUCGCUUUUGGUCAAUGGGAUCACCCGGGCGAGAUGAAUGGGGCCUAGAUUGCGUCGUGCCUGCGGCGACGGACGGCAAUGGUGCGGGAUUAUCUGAACUGAACUAGCAUUUGUAUUUGCAGGACUCAAUGCCCAAAAUUUGACUAGAGCCUGUGUUCAGUAUUUAUUCUUCUUCAGAGCUGGCAGAUAGCAGUAUAGGACUAGCUUGUAUGUUAAAUUGAUUCCUGCAACUGUGUUGUCUAAUUGUUUGUGACGCAGGACUGAUGGCUGAAGGUAAACGACAUGGUUACUGCAGUGAGUGUGUGUGGUAUUCUUCAGUUUGAGGGUGAUAAUAGUUCUUGGCUGAUUGUGUGCCUGUUCGUAAACUGCUUCCCCGAGUUGCUUUGGAUCUUCCACAGUUCCACCUGCUUGUGCUCUUCGUUUAUUUUGUGUUCUUGUACUGAUGAUGGUGCUUGUGAAUGCAUACAGUGCUUUAGAAUCGACACAUCAUCCAGUGUAUACAUCAUGUGGACAAAUAGACGACAAAAAAAACUAUAGAGAGUAAUCCUGCUGUAUCGAUUUUACAACCAAAUUCCUAACAAAAAAUGGAGAAGAAGGAACUUGCUCACCUAGCUGCAAGGAAUAUGAUGAAUAUCAGAUAGUGCAUAUGAUCUGAUUCAUGCCAAUACUCGCUUCAGGUUCGUAAGGAAAGAUGUACCAUUUACACUGGCGGCAUCCAGGAGAUCCUCUGCAUCUAAUGGAUGAAGCUGGAGAGGAACUAGGGACAAAGACGAGGUUUUCUUUGACUACAGUCUAGUGUUCAAAAUUAAAUGUUCAGAACUGGAAUUGGCAGUGGGGAGCAACUAACCUAUAUGUUGAAUCCAUUCCUGCAAUUUUGCAACUGUAUGUGCUCUAUGUGUUUUGUGAUGCUAGAAGUGCAAGGAACUGAUUGCUGAAGGUUAAUGACAUGGUUGUUGCGCUGAGUUUGUGGUACCCUUCAGUUCUGGACUCUGGAGGUUGGAGUUAUGUACUGGAGAAACAAAAAAGAUGCGUGUAUGAGGAUGAGAAGAGUUUGGUUAGUUGUAUUAUGUUUGUAAACAGCUUUACCAUCUUUCCA